AGUGAACGCUGGCGGCAGGCCUAACACAUGCAAGUCGAGCGGCAGCACAGUAAGUGCUCGCUCUUACGGGUGGCGACGGGCGGAUGAGUGAGAGGUACAUCGCAAUCUACUGUGUCUUGGGUGAUAACGUAGGCACUCAUACCCUAAUAGCGCAUACGACGAACGGGGGGAAUCAUGGGAUCUUCGGACCUUACGUGAGUCUAUGAGGCGAUGUCGGAUUAGCUAGUUGGGGGGGUAAAGGCCCACCAAGGCGACGAUCCGUUGCGGGUCUGAGAGGAUGAUCAGCCACACUGGAACUGAGACACGGUCCAGACUCCUACGGGAGGCAGCAGUGGGGAAUAUUGGACAAUGGGCGCAAGCCUGAUCCAGCCAUGCCGCGUGGGUGAAGAAGGCCUUCGGGUUGUAAAGCCCUUUUGUUGGGAAAGAAAAGCAGUAGGUUAAUACCCUGCUGUUCUGACGGUACCCAAAGAAUAAGCACCGGCUAACUUCGUG
rnacentral:rRNA from 1 species